rnacentral:rRNA from 1 species
GAUGAACGCUGGCGGCGUGCCUAACACAUGCAAGUCGAACGGAAAGGCCCUGAGUUUGUGCGGUUCUCGAUUGCCGAACGCGUGAGUAUCACGUGUGUAACCUGCCCUUGUCUUUGGGAGAACAUCACGAAACUGGGGCUAAUAUAGGAUAGGAUAUCCUGCUCCGUGGUGGGCGUUGGAAAGUUUCGGCCGUUGGGGAUGGACUCGCGGCUUAUGAGCUUGUUGGUGGGGUAGUGGCUGACCCAGCCUGUGAAGGGUACCCGGCCUGAGAGGGUGGACGGCGACCUUGGGACUGCGGGAGGGCGCAGACUGCUACGUGGGGCAGCAGUGGGGAGUCUUGCACAGUGGGCGGAAGCGUGAUGCAAAGACGCUGCGUGCGGGAUGACGGCUUUCGGGUUGUAAACCGCUUUCGCCUGUGACGAAGCGUGAGUGACGGUAAUGGGUAAAGAAGCACCGGCUAACUACGUG